AGAGUAUGCAUCAUUUAUGAUGGAAGGUAAAAAACUAAAUUGGACUUGGGAGGGAAGUGGUUCAAGAUUGCUUUUUAAAGUAGUGUAUUCAAAUCAGUAAAGAGCAAUGAUACCCAUUGCUAGGCUGAUUGCUUCAAUCAAACCCAGCAGUAAAAAGGCACUUCUUUAAAGAAGGUAGAUGAGGAUAUACAACUGGUAAACAAAAUCAGUAACGAUGCUUUUGAUAAUGGGAGGAUUUUUAAAAAGACAAAAUAUUGAUUGGCAAAAAUGGAAAGAAAGGGUAGAAGAUGCAAUUAACAUGGAUUUGUCAAGAACAAAUUAUCAGACAAAUGUAAUUUUCUUCUAGAAAAAAAUGUUGGGAAUUUUGUAUGGGGUGGAGCCAUAGGAUUAUAUGUGGACUUUAAAAACAUUUGUAUGGAAGAUAAGACCCAGAAACAGCAAAUCACAUAAAACAAUUGUGGAACUCAAGAAUUAUACAGUGAACACCAUUGCCUUCACCAUCCAGGUCAAGAACAGAAAUUUUCAGCCUCCGCAGAAGACCUUCAGGUACCUCAUUCUAAUCUCAGCCUCCUCUUUGGACAGGGAAUAAUUAUUAUUUGCAUGGUAAUCACUUCCUCGUAUUUUUUGAUAUAUCCAUGUCUGUUGGUUUUCUAGGGCUAUAAUAACAAAUUUAUCAUAAAGUAGGUGGCUUAAAACUACAGAAAUUUUUUCCCUCUCAGUUUUAGAGGCCAGAAAUUCAAAAUGAAGGCAUUGGCAGAGUUGGUUCCUCUGGGGGCUCUAAGAGAAGAUUCAUUUCAUGCCUACUUCCCAGCCUCUGAUUUAACAUGCUAGCCUGCGGAGACAGUAGAACUGCGAUGCUUCACGGAUAGGCCCUCAACCACAGUGAAAGGCUGCCAGACACAGAGAAGUAAGGUUAGCAAAGCAUGGAAACGAAUUUCAGGCCAAAUGACGAUACAUUCAUGAUCGCUGGACAAUUUUAUUAUCUGGAUCCUGGGGCAGUGCAUGCAGUGUUUGUCCUGGAGCAACCUCCUUAAGGGGCCACCUCUGCUUGAGCAACACGCUGGAAGCUUCAUAGAUAGGAAUAUGAAGGUUUCUAAACCCUGGGACACAGGUGUGAGAAGCACCAAUAGACGUGACCACAGCCAAGGAACACACCCCCUUGUCUGGUCCUGUAGCUUAGCUUAGACAAGAAACAAAUACAGAGGAGCAAAUCUGAAUUGUGUACUUAAUAAAUGAUUGUGGAUAAUGAUGGUUGUGGCAGUUAUGGGAAGAAUAGGCCAUUGGAUGGGCUACCCCUCUAUCAAUAGAUCAAGUAUUGUGUCCCGUGGUGACAGGCCCAAUUACCAACUGGCAGGCGUAUGAACAACAUUGAAGGAAUUUCCACAGAAGAAAGGUUCUAAACCCACGGAUACCUUGAUGUCCUCAGUUUCCCCUUUGGGAAGUGAACACCUGCUCUUUGAUAUGGCCUUGCCUUGAAAGAAAUAUAAAGGAUUCUGGAAAACAGCUUGGGGAAGUGCAGUGGUUCUCAGUAUAUGGUCCCUGAGCCAACAGUGUCAUCAUCACCUGGGAACUUGUUAGAAACACAAAUCUCCAUGCCGCCCCAGACCUACUGAAUCUGAAACUCUAGGGACAAAGCUCAACAAUCUGUGUUUUGUCAAGUGUCUGAUGAAGACUAAACUUUUAAAACCACUAGUGUGGUGGGUAGGGCACCAACUUACUGGUUAGAUACAUCUGCCCUGGAAGCCCAACUCCAGUAUUUACUUGGCGAGUUGCCUGGCAGUAAGAAGAAACAGAAUACAGUCAUCCCUUGGUAUCACCAGAGGAUUGGCUUCGGGACACCCAUGGAUCCCAAAAUCCACAGAUGCUCAAGUGCCUGUUAUAAAAUGGUGUAGUAUUUACACAUAAGCUACACACACCCUCUCG
rnacentral:lncRNA from 1 species